rnacentral:rRNA from 1 species
AUGAGUCACCGCAGGCGACCUCACGCCGCGGGCCCGCCGCCACCCCCGGAAGAGGGAGGAGGAGACCCCUCUCCGCAGUCGCCGGGGAAGGCGCCGCGGAUUCGGCCGUGGCCGGAGCGGCGGGUGCUGGCGCUCGCGCUGGCGUUCCGCGCGGUGAACGCGCUGCUGGUGCGCACCUACUUCAACCCCGACGAGCACUGGCAGUGCCUCGAGGUCGCCCACCGCGUCGCCUUCGGGUACGGCCACCUCACCUGGGAGUGGAAGCGGGGCCUUCGAGGUUACCUCCACCCGCUGAUCUUCGCCGCCCUUUACAAGUUUCUGGCGUUUCUCCACCUCGAUACCCCGUGGUUCAUGGUGAUGGCUCCACGGCUUCUACAGUCAGUAUUUGCAGCGUUUGGAGAUCUAUACUUGUAUAAACUCUCCAAACUUAUUUUCAACGAGCACGUUGCCCAGUGGACAUUAUUUUCGCAGUUGGUGAACUGGUUCAUGUUUUUCUGCAUUACACGGACUCUAUCAAACAGCUUGGAGACAGUUUUGACUGUGGCUGGACUCUAUUAUUGGUUUAUUGCAAUCAAGUCUUCCAAGGGAAUUUCAGUUAUUUCAAAGCAGCAGGCUUCCAGCUACCAAAGUCCUCAUUCAAGAAAAGUGGCACUACUCAUAGCAGCCUUAGCCUGCGCCAUUCGGCCAACAAGUGCCAUAACAUGGUUGUAUGUUGGUCUUUUGGACUUCAUUUAUAUAAAAUCAAAAUGUCGAUUUCUGUUUCUUGAGGUCAUUCCUCUAGGGGCCAUCGUCCUUGCAGCAACAACAUUCCUUGAUUGGUGGAUGUAUGGUUCCCGGGUCAUAGUGCCACUUAAUUUUUUGAAAUUCAACCUAUUUUCUUCAGGAGGAGAUUACUAUGGAACACAUGUCUUCCACUGGUACUUCACCCAAGGUUUUCCAUCUAUGAUUUGGACGUUCUUACCACUUUCAGUUUUUGGAGUCAUAAAGUCUCGAGAAUGGAGGCUUUCAGGUUUAAUUGCCUGGGUAUUAGGGGUUUAUAGCAUACUUGGACACAAAGAGUUCAGGUUUGUUCUUCCAGUGCUACCUUUAGCGUUGAUGUUCUCGGGUUACUUCUUAGCUGCAAUGUCGCAAUUCAAGGGUAAAAAUCUGCAUGGGAAAAGACACUUUUCAAGGUUGCAACUUUCUGUUAUUCUUCUCAUCAUAACCAAUGUUCCAAUGGCCUUAUAUAUGUCCCUGUUCCAUCAAAGAGGAACUGAAGAUGUCAUGUUUUAUCUAUCAAAAGAAGCCCAUAAUGGAAGAGUUAAGGGUGUCCUCUUUCUCAUGCCUUGCCAUUCGACGCCUUAUUACUCUACCUUACAUAGCAGCCUACCUAUGCGCUUUUUGGACUGUACUCCCAGUGAUAAUAAAGGGACCCUGGAUGAAUCAGACCGUUUCCUCAUGAACCCACUUGAUUUUGUGGGUGAGGUUUUUGGAAAUCUAUCUUCCUUCAGUCACAUUGUGUUAUUUGAAUCUGAAGAAAGACAUGUUAUUCAGUUGCUUCUGCACGAUUCCUUUCAAGAGGUUAGGAGGUUUUUCCAUUCCCACUUCAAGAUUGAUAGAGACCUUCAGUCGUCUGUUGUUGUAUAUUCACGGAGGGAUGUGCUAUGA